GCCUGGGUGGCGGAAUUGGUAGACGCGCUGGCUUCAGGUGCCAGUGUCCUCACGGACGUGCUGGUUCGAGUCCAGUCCCAGGUACCA
rnacentral:tRNA from 1 species